rnacentral:tRNA from 1 species
CGGGGAGUAGCUCAGCCCGGUAGAGCACCAGUUUAGGGGACUGGGGGUCGUGGGUUCAAAUCCCGCCUCCCCGA